CUCGCCGGUUGCAGCGAAGCGAAAAAUUGUCAACUUUACCGAUAUAAGACAUGUCUCAGCGAUAGUAUAGUCUUUCAGCGUGUGAAUUGAAGCUGUCAACAACAUGAAUAUAUUUCUAGGAGGAUUUUAUGUAUUGUGUAUAUUAUGUGCCAUUUUAUUUUUUUAUACUAGAUCGAAAACUCAAGCGGUCACUGAUGCAGGAUUUCAGCAGUUUCAGAGGACCUACAUGAUUGUUUAUCUAUUAGCCAUGGCGGGAGACUGGUUGCAAGGUCCACAUGUGUAUGCCCUAUAUGCCAGCUAUGGUAUGACCACUCACCAGAUUGAGAUCCUCUUUGUGGCUGGAUUUGGCUCUAGUAUGAUAGUGGGUACCGUAGUAGGAUCUUUUGCUGAUAAAUAUGGCCGGAGAAAUAACUGCAUACUGUAUGGAAUCCUGUAUGGGGCAGCAUGUAUUACCAAACAUUUCAACAAUUUCUGGGUGCUUAUGAUAGGACGACUUCUAGGCGGAACAGCGACAUCAAUUUUAUACAGCGCUUUUGAAUCUUGGCUUGUCUUUGAACACAAUAAGAGAGGCUAUGAUUCUGAACUUCUGGGAAACAUCUUCAGUCACGCCAUUCUGGGAAACUCACUGGUAGCCAUAACAGCUGGUAUUGUAGCUCAGUACUUUGCUGAUAUGUUUGGAUUUGUAGCACCAUUUGAUGUUUCACUGACUGUGCUGAUGCUAAUGUGUGGUCUUGUUGUCUGUACAUGGCCUGAAAACUAUGGUGACAAAACUAUCCAUAUUGGACAAUCCAUGCAAAAUGCAGUUCAGGCUAUUAAAUCUGAUUACAAAGUUUUAUGUCUGGGCCUGAUCCAGUCCCUGUUUGAAGGUUCUAUGUAUGUGUUUGUGUUAGAGUGGACUCCUGCACUGACCCCGCCAACCCCAAUAAGCCCACCACAUACAGCACGUGACCUGCUGGACACAGAAGAACAUACACCUACUAUACCUCAUGGCCACAUAUUCGCUGGUUUUAUGGUAUCAAUUAUGAUAGGGUCAUCACUUUUCAAGUUGUUGUCGAAAUGUACUACUCCUGAAUCUUUUAUGAGACCAGUGUUAUUUGUAUCAGCAUUAACAUUAGCCACACCUAUCUUAUUUCCUGGUAAUCAGCUGAUCAUUUUCAUUGCAUUUUUAGUCUUUGAAGUGUGUGUAGGUUUGUUUUGGCCAUCUAUGAGUACCAUGCGGGGAAAGUAUGUACCUGAAGAAACACGUGCAACUGUGAUGAACUUCUUUAGAAUUCCAUUAAAUUUCAUUGUAGUGCUCAUACUUCUACAGAAUCUCAAGAUGUCAGUUAUAUUCUCGUGCUGUGUUGUUUUUCUGAUACUAGCAACAGUAUUUCAACACUGGCUCUACCAAUCUGUUAGCAGAUAAAAUAGUCUGGUUACAUAAGUAACACAGUUCAAGGUUAUUACAUGCAUCUAGCAAGGCCUUACCAUCAGACAUAAUUUGUUAAAAGGUCAUGGUUAUCAAGGACAAGAAAAGCUGAGAUAUUUAAGAUGGAGCCUGAUAAAGAACAGGUCGUGUAGAAUUGAGACACUGUAAUCAUAGGUGGCUUUAUUGUAUUUUAGGUAUUUUGUGAUGGUAUUUUGAAUUUUAAUUAAAUUUUCACUCUAGUAUUGUUCUGACUUGGCUAUGGUUAUUCCACAAGGUCUUUAAUUGUCUUCUUCCUGUUAUGAAUUCACCAGAUAGAUUGUGAUGUCUCCCACAUAUAGUUGGGGAGACAGGAUUUGUGCUGUUCGUCUGUCUUUAAGUCCAUCUGUCUUGUCAGUUUGUCCACACAACUGAUCUCAUACCACCAGUUGGGCUUACACCAAACUCUAUAAUAGUAAUCAUUGCUAAACAUAGUUUUGCAUAUAGUCAACAUUUUCCAGAAAAUUUAUAAUGGUCCUUUAUUUGUCAAAUUUUAUAUUUUUGCAACUUCUCUUAUGUCGUUGGGCAGAUUUCCACCAAAUCUUACUGGAGUUAUCAGUGCCUAGCAUAUUUAUUCAUAAUGUUGGCAUGUUCCGGUUCAUUGAUGCAUCAUAAUUGACAGUGUUUACUCUACUUCCCAGGUACGGUUAGGCUGAAUUUCACAAAACCUCACAAGUGAUAGAUGUGAAGGAUUGUUGUGCAUAUCCUUGUGUUCUGAUUAUGAUUUUCAGUGGAGUCACAACCAUUCUUUGAUUUCUGUACUACUUUUCCUAAACCACUAGUUGGAAUUCCACCAAAUCACACUGGAGUUACUACUGCUAAGCCUAGUUGUGCAUAUCAUUGGAAUGUUAUGGUUCAGUGAUUUUCCCUGGAGUUUUUAUUCUGGCAUUUUACGAUUGAUGGAAGGCGUACAUUUUUCAUGAAGAAACAAACUUAAGUUUCAGAUUUAUUUAAUAUUCACUUGCUUUGGUAUUGUUUUUUUCCAGUGAGCAGACAUAGAUGAUGGCAAAAAUCAACAGUAGGUUCCUUAACAAAAAGUACUGGUUUAUUCAUAAAGUUUUUGUUCUUUACCUAUUUUUCUAUUCCAGUCAGUCAUUUGCAUUUCCACCUUGCGGCCAAACAGUGUAUUUGCAUGUUAGAUCAAAUAAAUUUCAUAUUGGAUGGUACAAAAUUCCUGUCUUCACUAAAUAAAAGCCAUUGAUGAUCAUAAAAGUAUCUUUGUUAUAAUAAAUGCUGAACUUUACUGGUUCCAGUCACCUGUACCUGUGGGUGCUGCACCAAAAAAAGAAAGCGUAGAAUAAAAAGUUAAUCCCUUACCCUGCUAAAUUUCUUUAAUGAACUUGUCCAUCCUUCGGUUUGGACAGUACCAUUAACUGUUAAAAGGGGUGAAUACCAAACAAUACUGACUGAAUAGGGAACAGUGCAGUCUGAUCAUGAUCUACACUGGUCACAAAGGCAGAAUCAGUCGUGUCCAGCAUGAUAAGGGUUAACAUUGUAUGGUACAAUAAGGGAAAUUAUAUGGAUUUAUACACACCUGAAAAGUCAUGUUAAGACACAUCUGUGGGCCCAUCCAAAAUGCAUGCACAGCUGGGUACUUGUCCAAAUAUAUCUGUGGAAUUGUUAACCUAAUGAUUUCAACCAGAUUUGUCAUAAAUGUGUUUAUACAUUUAUGAACAUUUUUUUUGUUUAGUAACUGUUGUACAAUUUUACAUGCAAACUAUUAUUUACAAUGAACAUUCCUGUUAUUGCAAUAUUACUGGAUUAUACACUAAAUACAUAACUGUAUAACCAAAAUAACAUACUUAGUGGAAAUAUAUGAGAGUAAGUGGUAUGUUUGCAUUGUGUGGGUAUAAUGCUAGCUUUCUUUAUAAAGAUGAUGUAUUUCAUCUUUAAAAGUUUUAAUAACAAGUUUGACUAUGUUUCUUUUGCAAUAUGUAGUAACAUAUUUUGCAUCCUUUUUUUUAGCUCACCUGAGCACGAAGUGCUCAAAGGUGAGCUAUUGUGAUCGCCCUGUGUCCGUCGUCGUCAACAAUUUGACUGUUAACACUCUAGAGGUCACAAAUUUGAGCCAAUCUUAAUGAAACUUGGUCAGAAUGUUACCCUCAAUAAAAUCUUGGAUGAGUUCGAGAUUGGAUCAUCUUAGGUCAAAAACUAGGUCACCAGGUCAAAUCAAAGGAAAAGCUUGUUAACACUCUAGAGGUCACAGUUUUGGCCCAAUCUUAAUGAAACUUGGUCAGUAUGUUACUCUCAAUAAAAUCUUGGACGAGUAUGAUAUUGGGUCAUCUGGGAUUAAAAACUAGGUCACCAGGUCAAAUCAAAGGAAAAGCUUAUUAACACUCUAGAGGAUACAUUUUUGGCCCAAUCUUAAUGAAACUUGGUCAGAAUGUAACCCUCAAUAAAAUCUUGGACGAGUUCGAUAUUGGGUCAUCUGGGAUCAAAAACUAGGUCACCAGGUCAAAUCAAAGAAAAAGCUUGUUAACACUCUAGAGGUCACAAUUUGGGCCCAAUCUUAAUGAAACUUGGUCAGGGUGUUACCCUCAAUAAAGUCUUGGACAAGUUUGAUAUUGGGUCAUCUGGGUUCAAAAACUAGGUCACCAGGUCAAAUCAAAGGAAAAGCUUGUUAACACUGUAGAGGCCACAUUUAAGACUAUAUCUUCAUGAAACUUGGGUAGAAUGUUAAUCUUGAUGAUCUCAAGGUCCAGUUUGAAUCUGGGUCAUGUGGGAUCAAAAACUAGGUCACCAGGUCAGAUCAAAGGAAAAGCUAUUUUACACUGUAGAGGCCACAUUUAUGACCGUAUCUUAAUGAAACUUGGUCAGAAUGUUAGUCUUGAGGCUUUAUAGGUCAAGUUUGAAUCUGAGUCAGGUGGGGGUCAAAAACUAGGUCACUAUGUCAAAUCAAAGGAAAAGCUUGUUAACACUCUAGAGGCCACAUUUAUGACUGUAUCUUCAUGAAACUUGGUCAGAAUGGUAAUCUUAAUGAUUCCAAGGUCCAAUUUGAAUCUGGGUUAUGUCGGGUCAAAAAAUAGGUCACUUGGUCAAAUUAAAAGAAAAGCUAGUUUACACUUUAGAGGCCACAUUUAUACCAUAUCUUAAUGAAACUUGGUCAGAAUAUUAAUCUUGAUGGUCUUUAGGUCAACAGGUCAGGUGAGCGAUACAGGGCCUUCAUGGCCCUCUUGUUAUAUAAAGUUGUGAAAGUUCAAACUAAAUUUCUUACGUUCUCAUUAAUAAAAAUCAUUGUACUUCACUUUAAUAUUUUCACUGUAAAUCUUAUUGUUCUACCAAUUUGGAAAAAAAAACAUUGGAGGAGAUGGUAGGUGAGUGCAAUAUAUUUUUGGAUUGGUAUUAGUCCUAAUAGAAUGCAUGUAUUGUUGUACAAGAAAAUGUUAAUCAUUUUAUUAAAUGGCCGUUUUGGAAAAUUGUAUGUAUUAUGUGAUAGCGCAUACAUCUGUCUUUCUGUAAGCCUGUCUGUCUGUCCAUCUGUCCAUUAUUUCUUACAGGUCAGCAGUGGAGCCAAAAGGUCAAAUUUGUCCCUCGUAUUUCAUGUCUGGAGCAUAACUUCAAACUUGGCAUAUAGGCUGAGGGUGAUAAGACAAUUUGGGAGUGAAACAAUCCACAGAUCACUUUUAGUUUAUUAUGCCUCAGUUUUCCGUCACCACUGCCACACAGUACUCCUUGAAUCCCCACCCACCACCACAUUACACCCCCACCUAGUCCAACACGCCCUAAAAAAUUGUCUUUGAAUUUUACUUUCUCGUCCUCUGAUCUAGAACUUCGGGAACAUAUCGCCUCGCUUUGUGAAGCUCUGGUUCUACUUUUAUUUUUAUGCCCCAAGGCAUAUAACCAUUUAACUGUCUGUUUAUCCAUAUGUAUGAGCCAGAUUUUAUUGUUUGUCUACAGUCCAUAUAAAUUGCUUGAUUUAGUUCAUACUCACACUCAACAAUUCUUGUGGCAAGACGUACAGUCUGACCUAUAUAUAGAUGACCUUUAACCUCAUAUCACCUUCAAACUUAAAACAGUAACAUUUUAUAGUCCUACAGCUGGCAUAAUUGACCCAGUUUAGUUAAUACUCACACUCAUUAAACUUUGUGGCAAGACCUACAAACUGAUCUAAUAUAGAUGACCUUGACCUCCAUAUGACCAUCACCUUUAAACUUUAAACCAUAAAAACAUUUUUGCUAAGAAGAUUUUACUUUUUUGGCUACAGCCAGCAUAAAUUACCUACAAACUGACUUAUAUAGAAAUGACCUUGACCCUCAUAAUUAUGACCUUCACCUUAAAGGGUGGUCUCCAGAUUGUUCGACAACAAAACAUUUUUUUUUUUAAAUAUCUGGAAAUAAAUGCUAUAUUUCUUAAGAAGGCUUUAAAACUUAAUUACUAACAAAUUAGAAUUUGCUGUUUUUACUACUUUUUACGAUGAAUAUCGAAAAGCAUUUGUAAAGCUUUACUCCAGGUACACUGUCUCGAUUCUAAAUAUCUAUAUUAUGAAGUCAUAAUUCACUAAUCUAAGUCCGCUAUAGCGCUGUUGGUUACGAUGAUAGGAAAAUGUCUUUAUUGACGUGGCGGUCCGGGGUUCGAUUCCAAGCGCCGUCAUCAUUUUUUAUUUGGAAUUUAAAAAAAAAAUUAGAAACAAAAACUCAUAUUCUAAUGUUCAUAAUAUGACCAAACUUCAAUUUAAAGGUGGAUAAUCAGAUUUUGGCCAUGUAACGGAUUUGUUUGAAACUUUAAUGUCUGAUCAUUUACACCCAUUUAUGUUCUCUUAACACUUAAUACAAGUUAGAUUUUCACUGGAGGUAUUUUUAAAAUUUAAUUUUCCUAUCCUGGUUGCCCAACCAAGAUAGAGUUAAUUUAUCAUAAGUAUAAAUUUGAUAAACAUACUUUGCCUAAGGAAAGGUAUAAAUAUUAGACAUAUUGUAAUAUAUUUGUAAAAUAUUUGCAUUAACAAUUAUGUAUUUAGUUGUUAUUCAUUAGAAACGCAAGUUUGAAAAAAUAUUAUUAUCUCCCUUUGUCUAUCUUGGUUGCGCAACCAAGAUAAAUUGGAAAUAAAUGAAUUCAGAACAUACACACAGCUUUAAAGCUUGCCUUUUGGUUAGGAUUGUUAAAUACUUAAUAUGUCUAUCAAUGAUCAGAAACACUAGUUUUUUGGUCCUACAACCCACAUUAAUAUCCCAAUUUAGGUUAUACUCACACUCGAGAAACCUUGUGGCAAGACCUAAAAACUGACCUAUAUGUAUGUGACCUUGAUCUUAAUAUGAUCCUCGCCUUUAUUCUUAAAACCUCAAAAAACAACGUCUUUGGUCAUACACCAUUUUGCUUUUUUAAUAACGGAGCUCCUUGUUUGCAGUAAGGAUAACAAUAUAGAUAGACACAAUUAAGAGUGUUUACUGAUUUUGAAUUUCUUGCUGAUAGUUUUAUCUGUCAAUGGGUGUUAUAGUUACUUCACAUGGAGAUUCAAAACCAAAAUUGUUACAUCAUCUAGUAUAGAAUGUAUCCAAUGUGGACUUAUGUCAUGUGGUACAUAUGCAAAUCACUGAUGAGAAGGGAAUAAUAGGUAAAGAAUAGGAAUGCCAUAUAAAAGGAGACAGAAUGGGGAGACAUGUUCUUUGUUAUGAGAUUUUAGAAAAGUUUCUGGUUUGGUUAGUUUGAAAUUAUAAGUUGUAUUUAUUUUUGUGCCAUUUUUAGAGUAGACGUUUGUCAUUAAAAUAUGUUACUAGACAUUCACAGUGCCAUUAAUACUUGAUGAUUUACUGUAAGUUUGUUAGCACUUUAGACAGUAUGAAUUCCUGCCAGAAAUAAAUUGUACAUAAGUUUCAUCUUAUUUGCAUCACUCUGAAAUGACUGGUAUCAUUUUUGCUUCAUAUUUGUUAUAACAGGAUUAAGGAUCAUGUAAACACCUUUGAGACCACCCCUCGGGUAAAUUUUCAUUUUGGAAAUCAUACCUGACAGACCCGUAAUAUUCAUAACAAAUAUAUUAUACAGAAUUGUUCAGAAGGGGUAGAAAAUACUUUCUUAUUCGGUAACAUGUAUUUUGUCUUACAACAAAUGUACUUCGAUUGUCCACAUUUUCUUUUUGAGAAAAUAAACUUUUUCAAACAUAUUUUUUCUCUAAAUUUGUUUAUGUUGUGUGUCCAACAUAUUUACCUAGGUACAUCAGGAAAUGAAAACUGAUGUAUUUUUAGGACAUUUGUGAUCACUUGAUGUCCGGCGUCCGUCUGUCUGUCUGUCGUCGUCAACAUUUAGCUUGUGUAUGCGAUAGAGGCUGUAUUUUUCGAUUGAUCUUCAUGAAAUUUGGUCAGAAUGUUUGCCUUGAUGAAAUCUAGGUUGAAUUUGAAUUUGGGUUAUCUGGGGUCAAAAACUAGGUCGCUAGGUCAAAUCAAAGAAAAACCUUGUGUAUGCGAUAGAGGCUGUAUUUUUCAAUUGAUCUUCUUGAAAUUUGGUCAGAAUGAUUGCCUUGAUGAAAUUUUGGUUGAUUUACAAGAUAGGUCAUCUGUGGUCAAAAACUAGGUCACUAGGUCAAAUCAAAGAAAAACCUUGUGUAUGCGAUAGAAGCUGUAUUUUUCAAAUAAUCUUCAUGAAAUUUGGUCAGAGUGAUUGCCUUGAUAAAAUCUAGGUUGAGUUCGAAUAUGGGUUAUCUAGGGUUAAAAAGUAGGACACUAGGUCAAAUCAAAGAAAAACCUUGUGUAUGCGAUAGAGGCUGUAUUUUUCAAUUGAUCUUCAUGAAAUAUGGUCAGAAUAAUUGCCUUGAUGAAAUCUAGGUUGAAUUUGAAUAUACAGUGAAACACCGCUCGCUCGAGGUCGCAAGGGGAUGAGCAAAAUGCUCGAGUUAUCCAUGGUUUCGAACGACCCAAACAAUGACCUAUAUACGAAGAAAAUUGAAGUUUGCUAUACCGAUUUUCAUCGGAACCAUUUGCAGAGCAAAUGCGAUAGAUGUUUCAAUAUGUCAUUUAUAAAUAGCACAUGUGAAGAAACGACUAAGGCUUAUUUUAUUUUUAUUUAUCAACAAGUGCAUAUCAGAAUUAUCGUCUCAAUUUUUAUUUCCUUCAUUUGCAUGCAAACAACUGCUGAUUAAAAUACUAAGAUUUCAUAACUAUGUUCUCGAUCCCGCAGAAAAGAUGUUUUAAGUAAUCAGUAAUUGAUUAAAAUUUGAUCAAUAAAACUUUUCUUCAACAUUUUAUCAACAACUAAUCUCAUUAUAAGAUGAAGUAUACCGACAAACAAACAUUUAAGAUAGUUGGGGAGUAGACCACGCAGUUCUCAAAGUGUGUGGAAAUGUUUAAUUAACAGAUACAUUCUGACCGCCGAAGGUGCGAAACUUUUGACACCUCUGCUCGAGUUUGCCAGAAGAAACGAAAAAUAAAUUAAUACACAGGGACCAGGUGUCAUGCUCGAGCGAUCGAGUUAUCGAUGCUCGACCCAGCCAUGGAAAACAAAAGAAAAUCGACCGGGACCACAUCAAUUGCUCGAGCGAGCCCGGGUGCUCGAGUCAUCGAUGCUCGAGUGAGCGGUGUUUCACUGUAGGUCAUUUGGGGUCAAAAACUAGGUCACUAGGUCAUAUCAAGAAAAUACUUGUUUAAACUCAAGAGACCACAUUUUUAGUCCAAUCCAAAUGAAAAGUGGCUAGAAUAUUUGUUUCCAUGAAAUCACUAGGUCAAACGUUAACACUGUUAUGGUGUGUUUCUUAGGUGAGCGACCUAGGGCCAUUUUGGCCCUCUUGUUUGAAAUAUUGCAGUUUUUGGUCAUUUUGACAGCUCUACUUCCACUUUCAUUUUGCAACUUUUGUGAGCUUUGUGAUCACCCUUCGUCCGACAUCAAUCCGUCCGUGCGUCCGUCCGUCAACAAUUUCUUGUCUGCACGAUAGUGGUUUCAUUUAUGAUCUUAUUUUAACCAAACUUGCACACAACUUGUAUCACCAUAAGUUCUCGGUUCCUUUCUUGCACUGGCCAGAUCCCAUUAUGGGUUCCAGAGUUAUGGCCCCUGAAGGGCCAAAAUUAGCUAUUUUGACCUUGUCUGCACAAUAGCAGCUUUAUUUUUGAUUUGAUUUUUACUAAACUUGCACACAACUUGUAUCACCAUAAGAUCUUGGUUCCUUUCUUGAACUGGCCAGAUUCCAUUAUGGGUUCCAGAGUUAUGGCCCCUGAAAGGGCCAGAAAUAGCUAUUUUGACCUUGUCUGCACAAUAGCAGCUUCAUUUAUUAUUUUGUUUUAACCAAACUUGCACACAACUUGUAUCACCAUAAGAUGUCGGUUCCUUUGUUGAACCGCCCAGAUCCCUUAAUGGGUUCCAGAGUUAUGGACCCUGAAAGGGCCAAAAUUAGCUAUUUUGACCUUGUCUGCACAAUAGCAGCUUCAUUUAUGAUUUGACUUUAACCAAUCUUGCACACAACUUGUAUCACCACAAGAUAUUGGUUCCUUUCUUGAACUGGCCAGAUUCCAUUAUGGGUUCUGGAGUUAUGGCCCCUGAUAGGGCCAGAAUAAGCUAUUUUGACCUUGUCUGCACAAUAGCAGCCUCAUUUAUGAUUUGAAUUUAAUCAAACUUGCACAAAACUUGUGUCAACAUAAGAUCUUGGUUCCUUUCUUGAACCGGCCCAUAAUGGGUUCCAGAGUUAUGGAAGGGCCAAAAUUAGCUAUUUUGUUAUCAAAAUGGAUUUAUAUUAGUAAGUACUUUUAGGACUCAUUUGAAAUUUCAUUAUUGCCUUUAGUUGGACUUAGACAAUCAGGAAAGAUAACUAUGGACUGAUUUUAUGUUAAAUUACCUCCCUAUAUUUCAAAUUAAAAUGGGUAUAUCUCCAUAACUAAUGAAGAUACUGAUUGGAAAUUUCAUUUAUGCUAUCAGAUUGACUUGGACAGUCAGUGAAGAUACAUAUUGACUGAAUUUAUGACAAAUUACCUCCCUUUAUUUUUUAUGUAGCAGCUUCUAAUGAGAUUGGUUUGAAAUGUUAUUUAUGUAUUCCAUGGGAAGAAAUAGUCAUGUUAGAUAACUAUUGAUUGAACGUUUAUCAAUAUGAAUACUUUUCUAAUAUAUUGUUAAUUACCUCCCCAGAUUUCAAUAAAAAUGGAUUUAUCUCAGUAAGUAUUUAUAGGACUCAUUUGAAAUUUCAUUAUUGUCAUUAGUUGGACUGAAACAAUCAGGGUAGAUAACUAUGGACUGAUUUUAUGUCAAAUUACCUCCCUUUAUUUCAAAUUAAAAUGGAUGUAUCUCGGUAACCAAUGAAGGUUCUGAUUUGAAAUGUCAUUUAUGCCAUCAGAUUGUCUCGGACAAUCAGGGUAGAUAACUUUUGACUGAAUAGAUGACAAAUUACCUCCCUUUAUUUCAUGUAAAUGAAUAUACCUCGGCAGAAUGUAAUGAGAUUGGUUUUAAAUGUUAUUUAAGUCUUCCAGGGUAAGAAAUAGUCAUGCUAGUACAAAAAUGCAGCAUUUGAGCGUAGGAUGCUCAAACUUGAUAUUGAAAUUGGCCCUGACUAGAAUGUGACCCAUAGGUCAAAAGGGACUGUUACAACAAAAUUUAUCCUGAUGAUAUUUUAUGUGUAUGCCUAUGUGAUCAUUGUCAAAACUUGAUCUUAUCAUUUAGAGCAAUGGUACUCAGGUGAGCGAUAUAGGGCCAUCAUGGCCCUUUUGUUAAAAUGUACAUUGUUUGUAACACUUUCAACUCCCGGAGUACCUGGGGAAAUAUGUUAGACACACAGUAAUCAUAAAGGUAAUGACAAAAUACUUUUGAAAAAGAAGCUUGAUAUCUUCUACAAAAUAGAACAUGAACAGUCAAAGUACAUGUGAUAUAGGACAAAAUGUGCUGUUAAAUAAAAUAUAACCUAUCUUGAAAGUUUCUUCUACUUAUUAUGAAUAGUUUGCUAUAUUGUAUAUGAUAAACCAAGGUAUAUGUGGCAUAAAAAAACUAAAACAAAAAUUCUACCGAGGGGUGGUUUCAAAAGACUUGACAAGAACCUUAAACAGUUAUGUUUUCUACCACAAAUGAUUACAAUAUUGGACCCUUAUUUAUUAUUCCAUUUUCAGAUUUAAGGACAACAAUUAACAGUGUAGUCUGGACUGUUAGAAAUUAAGGUCUAUUCAAUUCUUGGUAACACAAUAUGUUCCUUUCAUGAGUCGUUUAUUUACAAAAUUUAUUAAGUUAAGAUUCUUGUAUGUUAUCAUUGUUUAAAGUUAGGAAGUUAUUAUUGUUUUUGUUUUACUCUGGUAUUUGUUAUAAGUGACCAGGUAGUAUUUAAAUAUUGGGUAAAGAAAACGGUUUAGUUAAUUGAUGUAGAUAUUGGAAUAAAUAGGUUUAAUUUGUACAAGACUAGAAAGAGCUGAAAUGUGUUGGCAGAGGUGGCGAUGGGAUGUUGGGAGGGUAACGAGGCAUCUUAUGGGGUUAUAAGUCAGAUCAAUAAAAUCUUUUGUUUCUAGGAUGAAUUAAUUCAGACAUUCUUAAAUGAUCCCCCAUUAUGUGCAGAUUAACAGAUUUUUAAAGCGACCAUUAUUGCAAGAGUUACAACCCUUUUUUCAGUGUGAAUUGUAGAUCUAAAAUUGUGUGCACACUAGUGUCCAGCAGACACACUUCUAGCUGCAUAUGGAUUUAGCUUAGCAAUUUAUAAUCUCGGAAUAUCUUUUUCUGAAGUUGCAACUUUGUGUGUGAAUAAUGAUAAUAAUAUAAUCGAUUUUGAUUCAGAUUUACUUGAAAACGUUGUUAGAAGCCAUAUCAGUAACAUUAUGUAAGUUUCUUGAAAAGUGUUUGUACGCCUUAAAUGAAGAAAUUUAUAUUUAUGAAAUGGCAUUUUUGCUUGGUUUUUUGCAACAUAAGCUAGAACUUUAUAUACUGUCACACUUGGUUUACCUCUUUUACGAAUGACUGGUUUUUGUGAUUUAUAAAUACAUGUGUACACAUUUUCCAUUUUAACAUUGUUAAUAGUUCAAAGCAGCUGAAUUUGCAGCAAUACCAAGCAUUCUAUAUAUUCACUACCUUCGUGAUUAUGUCUCAGUUAAUAUUCUAGAAAAUGCUUCAUAAUAAUAAUCUUUUUAUAUAUAACUGACCUCCCUUUGAAAAUUCUGUUUUCAAAUAUUUCCCAGCUUUUACUUGCCUGUUUGUAGUGGUGAGAGUAUUACAUUUAUAUUUUCUAAUGAUCAUAUUUGUUAAUAUAUCAGCGCAGCUUGUUAUAAAUGUUUGUAUAUUAUUUGCUGAUUUUUCCAUUUUCUAUAAAUGUUGAAAGUUGAGUGUUACAAAAAUAUAGAAUACAUAUUUGUAUAGAUAAUGAGUAUAUAAUAAAGAGGUUAAGAUUUCAAUAUGUAUGAUGAAAACAGUAAUGUGUUAUGAAUCCUUAUAAUUUAUUUAGAAAGAAUGAUAAUAUAAUCCUAUAAUUUGUCUACAAACAAGUGUCUGUUCAAAAAUGGCCUAAACUUGCUACACACAAAGAUAUAAGUUUAAAGGCCUUGCAGAUUUAGGUUUUACAAAUACAUUUGUAUGUAUAUGGCUAAAUUGUGUGAAAAUUGUAAUAUGUUCUAGGUUUUAACAUUUAUUUGAAUGAAGGGUAAAAUCCUAAACGUUCUGUUACAGUACAUGUUUGAAAUCCUAUAAGAAUCUUAUACUGGCUAUAGGGGAAGAGAGAAAUAUCUGCUGGAAGGUACAUUUUGUAUCUCCUUAGGCAAUAACAUGGCUCUUUUGAGUUACUGUUCAAACACAACUGAGGAUCUGCAUGUACAACCAGUGGAAAAAUCUUUUUCUUGCAUGACCGGUUAUUCAGUGUAACUUCCGAAAACUGCACUCCCUCGGGACCAGAGAAAAAGUCCAGUUUUUGGACAUACGGAAUGUUUUGGACAAAUACAACUGCAUACCUAAAUCAUUCUCUGUGAUUUAGAGCAAAUUCAGACUCAUAAUUUUUUUAGCUCAACUAUUCAAAGAAUAGGUAGAGCUAUUGGACUCGCCCGUGCGUCAGCAUCCGUGUCCCGAUUUGGUUAAGUUUUUGUAUGUAAGCAACCACUUGUGGGAAUGGAUUGAAACUUCACACACUUAUUUACUGUGAUAAACUGACUUACACUGCACAGAUUCCAUAACUCUGUUUUGCUUUUUUACAAAAUUAUGCCCCUUUUUCGACUUAGAAAUUUUUGGUUAAGCUUUUGUAUGUAAGCUGUUGUCUCAGUACCCACUAAUGAGAAUGGAUUGAAACUUCACACACUUGUUCACUGUCAUGAUCUGACAUGCACUGUGCAGGUCCCAUAACUGUACUUUGUAUUUUGUCAAAAUUAUGCCCCUUUUUCGACUUAGCAGUUUUUGGUUAAGUUUUUGUAUGUAAGCUGGUAUCUCAGUAUUCACUAAUUGGAAUGGAUUGAAACUUCACACACUUGUCCACUGUCAUGAGCUGAUAAGCACUUUGCAGGUUCCAUAACCCUGUUUUGCAUUUUUACCAAAUUUUGCCCCUUUUUUCGACUUUUGUAUUCAUUGAAUUGACAAGGCUGUUGAAUAGUCGAGCGUUGCUGUCCUCCAACAGCUGUUGUUAAAUUUUGUCCUGUAGAGACAGUUCAGUUUUAUGAGGUUUCUACGUUGUCUUAGUCACUUUUAUUUAGAAAAUAAUGAAGAUUUCAUAAAAUGCCGUGAUUUUAAAAGGUUUACUCAUUUUUUUACAUAACUACAUUCAGGUUUGAAGUUGGGACAGUUUAAGAAACUGUUUGACCAAUUACGAAAUCUGGACCGAGAAAAUUGUCAGAUUUACAGAAGUUUCCAGUUUUUUUGAAAGUUCAAUAUUAAGAAGUUCCACUAUAGUAAAAAUAUUACCAAAAAAACAACUUUCUUACAACACUUUUUUUUUUUAAAGUAGCAUAUUUAAACAAAGUGGGGGAGAUUUUUGUCCAUCAAUAGCAAAUAAAAAUAUGAAGUUCUCGUUUUAUUUUAUUAUCAGCUGCAUAAUGUUAGCAUUUUUCAUAAAAUGAUGUUUAGUGAAUUGUUAAGGAACUAAGAGGAAGUAUCAAACUACAUUAAUAUAGUUUGUUAUACGAGUGUCGUCUUACACCGUCAUUGUAAGAUGGAGCUUUUCAGCACCAGUGAAAACACUAAAACUGCCUUCCCGAAUGCAAGAAUAAAGGACCCUGUACAGUACAUGUUUGAAAUAUUAACAUUUUAAGUAUCAUCUCUUUUACAGCUUAUACAAAUAUAUUUGGACAUUUUUGUCUCAACAGACUUGCUAAUAUGUCUUGCAGAACCAGAUUGUCAGAUUUGUUUUGAAUCUGCACAGCUACCAGAUUAAGGUAAUUUGAAAUCAAAAUUUUUACACUUACAUGAAAAGAAAUUAUUAUACAUGUGACUUUUUCAUACUGGUAUCUACAGUGUACGAGUUUUUUCGUUUAGGUGAAGGCCGAUACUUUCUUGUAAAUUUUAUAAUGAAUAUAUUUUGGCUCAUGUGAACAAAAAUUUCAGGGUGAGCUAUAAGUAUAGGUGGAUGGUGUGUCAUACAUUGUGAAGUGUCUAUCAUCCUGCAUCAAUUAUUAGCCCCCUACUGGUUGAAAACCAGUUUCAGGGACUAUAGGAAUGCACUUUUCCAUCCGUCAUUCUGUCAUUCCAUCCGCAGUUCUGUGUCUGGUCCAUAACUGUCAUUCAUGAAGAGAUUUUAAUAUUACUUGGCACAAAUGUUCCCCAUGACAAGACGUGUCAUGCGCAAAACCUGGACACCCGGCUCAGAGGUCAAGGUCACAGUUAGAGGUCAAAGGUCAAUAGAGCUUUUUUCCUGUUCGGUCCAUAACUCUGCCAUCCAUGAAGGGAAUUUAAUAUUACUUGGCACUAGCUUGAUGAAACUUCACCAAACUUGGGCCUGUAUCAUCUUUUUCAGUUUAUUCAGAUACUUUUACUUGAUCGCUUUUAGGGCUGAAAAUAAAAAAAAUACUUUAAAUGAUUAGUUCUUUUGAAUUCUUUUAAGGGUUUUCACAAAACUUGGUCUGUAGCAUCCUUGUAUAGACCUUACUCUCAACGCUUUUCAAAUACUUCCACUUGAUGCCUUGUAGGAGCCAUCAGAGCUAAAAAUAGAAGAAAAAGUUUCAUAACUUCUUCUCAUUAACUGCUUGAUGGAUCAUUCAGAAGCAAGGUCAAACAUUAAUAAUACAGGUUAGGUGAGCAUUAAGGCUGUCAUCGCUCUCUGUUUUAUAUAUUAAACCUUGAACUCUAUCAAGUUUGUUAGCUCAUCUGUGCAGAAAGUGCUCAAGGAGAGCUGUUGUAUAGCCCAGUGCCUGUUGUCAAAAAAUCUUCUGUUAACACUUCAGAGGUCAUAAUGUUAACCUAGUCUUGAUGAAACUUGGUCAGAAUAUUGAAUGAAACCUUAGUCGAGAUUGAAAUUGGGUCAUCUGGGGUCAGAAACUAAGCAACUGGAUCUGCUCAUUAAAAAAACAACUUUGUUAACAAUUAAGACGCUACAUUUUCUGCUUGAUUUUCUUGAAAGAUUGUCAAUGAUUGUCUCAUUGAAAUAUCCAAUAUAUUUUGAAACUGGUUUACCUGAAAUCAAAAAUUUGGUCACAGGGUCAUUUCGUAGAAAACCAUUUUUAACACUGUUGAGGCCAAAUUUUCUACCUCAUGGUCAUAUUUUUCAGAAUGUCUUAAUGAAAUCUGGUUGAAGAUUGAAACUGUACUACCUGUGGUCAAAAACUAUAGUCAAUAUAUAUAUAGAUAUAGUCAAACUGUAUCAAAAAGUAAGUACUCUAGAAGCCACAGUUUCUACUUCAUAAAACUUUGUCAGGUUUUUCUCUGUGAAAUAUAGGUAAAUUUUGAAACUGGGUUAUCAAAGUCUAAAAACUAGGUCACUAGAUCAAAUCAUAGAAAAACGUUGAUAGCACUCCAGAGACGUCAUUUUCUACCCGUUCUUCACAAAUUCUUUCCAAUGUUUCCGUGUAGUCUAGGAUAAAUUUUUAUCCCCCCUUCGAAGAAGGAGGGGUAUAUUGUUUUGCAGAUGUCGGUUGGUCUGUCGAUCGGAAUGUAGACCAAUCCGUUUCUGGAUGAUAACUCAAGAACACUUGGGCCUAGGAUCAUGAAAGUUGAUAGGGAGGUUGGUCAUCACCAGCAGAUGACCCCUAUAGAUUUUGAGGUCUUUCUGGCAAAGGUCAAGGUCACAGUGACCCUGAAAAGUAAAAUGGUUUCCGGAUGAUAACUCGAGAACACUUGGGCCUAGGAUCAUGAAAGUUGAUAGGGAGGUUGUACAUGACCAGCAGAUGACCCCUACUGAUUUUGAGGUCAGUAUCUUAAAGGUCAAGGUCACUGUGACCCUGAACAGUUAAACGAUUUCCAGAUGAUAACUCAAGAAUGCUAAGGCCUAGGGUAAUGAAAGUUGAUAGGGAGGUUGGUCAUGACCAGCAGAUGACCCCUAUUGAUUUUGAGGUCAGUAUGUCAAAGGUCAAGGUCACAGUGACCAGGAACAGUAAAAGGUUUCCGUGCAAUAACUCAAGAACGCUUGGGCCUAGUAGCAGGAAAAUUGAUAGUUAGGUUGGCCAUGACCAGCAGAUGACCCCUAUUGAUUUUGAGGUCAUUAGGUCAAAGGUCAAGGUCACAUUGGCCAGGAACAGUUAAACGGUUUCUGAUCUUCUUGUCCAAAACCAUAGUGCCUAGGUGCUCUGAUGUUUGGUAUGUAGUAAAAUCUAGUGGUCCUCUACCAAGAUUGUUCAGAUUAUUUCCCUGGGGUCAUAUGGUUUAUAUAGACUUAUAUAGGUAAAAACUUUGAAAAACCUCUUGUCCAAAACCACAGGGCCUAGGGCUUUGAUAUUUUGUACAUGACAUCAUCUAGUGGUCCUCUACUAAGCUUGUUCAAAUCAUUCCUCUAGGGUCAAAUAUGGCUCCACCCUGGGGGUCACAUGGUUUACAUAAACUUAUAUAGGGAAAAACUUUGAAAAUCUUCUUGUCUAUGGCUUUGAUAUUUUGUAUCUAGUGGUUCUCUACCAAGUUUGUUCAAAUCAUCCCUUUAGGGUCAAAUAUGGCCCCACCCCAGGGGUCACAUGGUCAUAUAGACUUGUAUAGGGAAAAACUUAGAAUCUUCAUGUCCAUAACUUACAUCAUUCAAAUUUGGACCACAUGUAUAGUUUUGAGUGGCAAGAUGAACUUUGACAUGAGUUGACCUUCAUCUUGACCUAGUGACCUACUUUCACAUUUCUGUAGCUACAGCCUUCAAAUUUGGACCACAUGCAUAGGUUUGUGUACCGAAAAAAACUUUGACCUUAUUAUUGAUCUAGUGACCUACUUUCACAUUUCUCAAGCUACAUCCUUCAAAUUUGAACCACAAGCAUAGUUUUGUGUACUGAAAUGAACUUUGAUCUUGAGAUUGACCUAGUGACCUACUUGCACAUUUCUGAAGGUACAGGCUUCAAAUUUGGACCACUUGCAUAGUUUUGUGUUCCAAAAUAAAAUUUGACCUUGAUUUUGACCUAGUGACCUACUUUCACAUUUCUCAAGCUACAUCCUUCAAAUUUGAACCACAUGCAUAGUUUUGUGUACUGAAAUGAACUUUGAUCUUGAGAUUGACCUAGUGACCUACUUUCACAUUUCUGAAGCUACAGACUUCAAAUUUGGACCACAUGCAUAUUUUUGUGUUCUGAAUUGAAAUUUGACAUUGAUUUUUACCUAUUACCUACUUUCACAUUUCUCAAGCUACAGCCUCCAAAUUUGAAGCACAUGCAUAGUUCUGUCUACCGAAAUGAACUUUGACCUUGAAAUUGAUCUAGUGACCUACUUUCACAUUUCUCAAGCCACAGCUUUCAAAUUUGGACCACAUACACAUUGUUUUGUACCGAAAUGAAAUUUGACCUUGAGCUAGUCUUGAAAUUUUGAACAUUCAAAAAUGGCUCAGUGGAUGGCGCCAAGAUCACUCUGUAAUCUCUUGUUAGGUUAAUAGGUUUAAGGUCAAGGUCAGAUUAAACCAGAAUGGUAGAACUUUUGUUUACAGUGAGCAUAUAAUUUCUGUUCCUUGUACAAUUACUGAAUGCAUCAAGAGGGGCAUUUCGUGUUCAACAAGCUCUUGUUUAACUGGGUAUUUGGUUCAAAGACUAGGUUACCAAGUCCAGUCAUAGAAAAAAACCUUCUUUAUACCCUAGACAACACCUUUUCUAAUUUAUCGUCAUGAAACUUCAGAGUGUCUUAGCGUCUUGCUCUGUGAAAGCUAGGUCAAGUUCAAAACUGGGAUAUCUGAGGUCAGAAACAAGAUGACUGGGUAAAAUCACAGAAAAGCCUCUUUAAAACUAUAUAGAAGCCACAUUUUCUACCUGAUGUUUUAUAAACAUUUGUCAGAAUAUUUGUCUUGAUGGAAUCCAGGUGAAGUUUGAAACUGGGUUAUUUGAAAAAUCAAGUCACCAUGCAAAGUCAGAGAGAAUCCUUUUUACCUCUAAAGAGGCCAUCUUUUUUACCUGAUCUUCAUGAGACAUGGUUAGAAUGUUUGUCUAUAUUAAAUGCAGGAUACAGUAAGACAUUCUGACUAGGUUUGAUGAAGUUUGGUAGAAAAUGUGGCAGCUGGAGUAUUGAAUAGGGUUUUCGAAGAUUUAACACAUUGAACAUGACGAGUUAUGACCAGGAUCUCUGGUUAUAAAUUACAUUUGUAGACCAGUUUCAAUGUUUCUGCAUGUGAUUGAUAGAUUCUGAGUGCAGUCUUGAAAUCUGCUUUUGAGACUGGUCUCCAAACUUUUAUAACCUAAGUUAAAUGUUUUAUUAUUUUAGGGGAUUUUGAUGUGGGAUUAUAGGUAUAGAGAUGACUUAUAUAUAAUGUAUUGUUGCUUGGAAAUGAUUUGAUAUGAUUUCACCAAGUAUCUGGAAGAUAUAUAGCACUGUAAUUGUAAGAUAAUUAAAAUGUGAAAUAAUAAAGCUCAAAAAAUGUA